rnacentral:rRNA from 1 species
GAUGAACGCUGGCGGCGUGCCUAAUACAUGCAAGUCGAGCGAACGGACGAGAAGCUUGCUUUUCUGAUGUUAGCGGCGGACGGGUGAGUAACACGUGGAUAACCUACCUAUAAGACUGGGAUAACUUCGGGAAACCGGAGCUAAUACCGGAUAAUAUUUUGAACCGCAUGGUUCAAAAGUGAAAGACGGUCUUGCUGUCACUUAUAGAUGGAUCCGCGCUGCAUUAGCUAGUUGGUCAGGUAACGGCUUACCAAGGCAACGAUGCAUAGCCGACCUGAGAGGGUGAUCGGCCACACUGGAAGUGAGACACGGUCCAGACUCCUACGGGAGGCAGCAGUAGGGAAUCUUCCGCAAAGGGCGAAAGCCUGACGGAGCAACGCCGCGUGAGUGAUGAAGGUCUUCGGAUCGUAAAACUCUGUUAUUAGGGAAGAACAUAUGUGUAAGUAACUGUGCACAUCUUGACGGUACCUAAUCAGAAAGCCACGGCUAACUACGUG